UUGUUUGUCCAGCCAAUUCAGGCAAUAGUGUCUCUUUUCCGAGUUUUUCUGCCCAUUCAUCUCAACUGGAUUGAAGGGUCCAAUAGCCCAUUGCUUGUCUGAAUCGGUUAUUUUGGAUUUAACAUGGAGGUCAAGGUAUGGACCCUCUAUAGCUCUACAAGUGUUGAACAGGUAGCCAGAGCUAAUUGGCUUAAAAUCAUUUUGAAAUUUUACAAAGUCAGUCAGCUCUUGGGGGAAGCAACUUUCCCAUGUUGGAAGAUCUUCGAGUGGUUCGAGUAGUUCAGGCUGGGAUAGUUCAGGUUUCCCUUCUGGUUCCCCAAAAAACGAGUAUAUAGUGAAGGCUGAGGAGCUUGGAAAGCAGUAGGACUCUGCGUUCGGGAUUAAACGCACAUCCUGGAUGACAUAUGGCAUCAGAAAGUCAUAAAUAACUACCAAUCUUCUUGUUGUGCAAGAAAGUUGUUGCAGAAGUGCGUAAACUGGCUCACGGAGUUUGAUCGAUGCGUUGAAUGCUGGGAUGAGUUGUAUGGGAUAUUUUGUUGGGGCGUUUGGAUCCGGAGGAGGAGUUUCAUAAGAAGGGAUGGACAAUUCAUGGAAAUGGAUGUUGGAAAUGGCAAGAGGAUCCCAACCGUGGACACGAACCUUUGCCUGGCGGUUGUGAGAGGCCGUGCCAACAUAGUGAACAGGUAUAUCAUAGGCGGAGAUGAGGCGGGAGAGAUGGAGGAGCUGGUUGAGAUGGCCCUGUGCUGGAAGGGGAACCAUGACCACAGUCACUUCAUGAGUUUCUCGAAUAAUACCAACUGGGCUUUGGACUCUUGAAUGAUCAUCCAUGGCCAUUGGAAAGAUUUUGGAACUGGAAAUUUUGGAAAGCUCUUUUAUUUUGUCAGCUUGUUAGAAUUGCUUUGGUCGUUUGCUCUUAUAAGGUGUAAGAUGGAAGCUGGGGAGAGUCGUUAAUCGGAGUUGGAACUGUUGCUGGUAACUCUUCGGAUGUGUAAUAAUGUUACGGAUUAUUAUCACUUUACUCCCUCAACGUUUGGUGCUACUAUCAAUUUUACCCUUAACAUUAUUUUUUAGUCCCUUAACAUUAUCCAGAAGGUUGUGGAAGUAGUUUUUUUUAGUAAGUUCCGUCACAAUGAUAUCUUCAAGAUUGGAAAUUGCUUUGUCAGUGGAAGCCCGCAAUAUACGACUAGCCAUGCAAUGACAAGAAAACAUGAAAAAAAUAUUACUUUUAUUGUUUAUUUCGUAUCCAACAAAGAUUGAAUGAUGUAACAUUUCUUUGAUGAAUUGAAAACUGGUAGAUUACAUUUAUGCUGGAUGAAUUAGGUUUGAUUAUUUUUGGUUGGAAAAAGACAAAACGUCCAGCGGACUAUCGUGCCAAGCUCUGUUUUCAUCUCCAAAGAGCAUGUUCAUCACUUUAAUUGCCUGUUUGUUUUCUAAGAUUGCCAUUUCUCAAAAUUUUGAUAUUUAUCAGCUUUAACUUCUAAAGACAGUGGCAGAGGCAGGAUCUUUGGUUAGGUUUAAACUUACAAUGUAUUGAUUUGUAGAUUUUUAGAACAUUGUAUAUUCAUUAUACAAGCACGCUAAUUUGUUCAAUAACCAAUGUUACAAAAAUUGAACAAAAAAUCAAUAGCUCGUGAUUUUUUUUCGUUUGCUAGGUUAUUCUAAUCGUAUAAAAUGGUAUAGUAAUUAAAAUUAAGCAUUAGAAUACAAUAUUUAAAUUCUAAUACGUCUAGAAAGUGAAUAUUUUGUAUGCAAUCGAACCAUGAAAUGAAUACUUGGUUCACUUGUAAUUCAUGUGAUUUAACAUUAAGAAAAGUUCAAUAUUAAGUAAAUAGCAUAUGUAAGAAAGGAAAAAGCUAACAUCCUAUCAUAUAUUUUAGUUCAAUGUUUCAUUGUGGAAAUAUUGAAGGUAGUUUUAAAAAUUUUAAUACUUUUGGGGCACAGUCUGAGGGUUAGAAGGAAUACUAUCAAAAUUCACAAGGAGCAAGAGUGAGACAAAAAAUUUUAAAUUUUUUACAGAUUAUUUUACAGUUUCUAUUGAGGGAGUGGUCAGACUGCAUGUGGCUCUGCCACCGGCUAAAGAUGUCGAGAAGUUGAAGGCCGAAAGUCUUAAGAACUUGCAGCGUAAGAAAAAGGCAAAUUGGUUGGUUUUUGGGGUACUUCAUUUCAUGAAUGAUAGAGAGCCAAAUUCCUUUUGGCUACAUCAAAGUCUUCAUGAGGUUAUAGGAUUUAUAUCUUUUAAUAGCUAGGAAAUUACAAUGAAACAACAUUUUUAAAUUUAAUAAACCAAAUUGUCCGACCACUAGAUGCAUGUGGUUUUGUAAAGACUGCAUUUCGUCCAUCCUGACCGGUUGGAUGACAAUUUCCAGAUAAUGACGGAAUAAAAUAAGUUCAUCAAAUUAACAACGUACGUAGGACUAGGAGAAGGCCAAAACACAAACAUUAAAGUGCCUUCUACCUAGGACUGAUGAUGUUUUGUGUUUCUUUAUAUUUUGAAUCAUGCGGUGAACAAGUGAGGAUCAUGGAAUAGGAAGAGCCAAGUGUCUAAUUAAUCGAAAUUAGUACUAUUAGAAAGCUGGUCAGCUGCAGUUUACUGAAAAUUUCAUUGCAAUGGAUUUAACUUAAUAAGUUACAAUUUUUAUUACUCAGAAUUCCUGCUGAUUGAAGAACCUAAUGAUUUGGAUGAACUGAAAUCUACCUACGAAUAUGAGCAAUGAAAGAAUCCAUCUCCAAGCGACUUAGACCACCUUCCAUAACAGAUCCCUUGACAGCUUUGCUCAAUUCUCUGGCUCUUUGCCUCAUCUCUUCUCCUUCAGCUGAAUCCAUCAAUCUUCUCACAGCAUUUUCAACAGUUAUGGAUGUCACAAGUUCAUUCUGCUUCGACCAAUCCCUUACCUUUAGACCAAUCUUGAGCACCUUUUCCAGUAGUAUCGCGUUUCGGGGCUGGUCAGAAUGCAUAGGCCAUGCUGCCACGGGUACUCCCAUGCUAAUGCUUUCUAUGCACGAGUUCCAUCCGCAAUGACUCAUGAAUCCACCUGUUGAUGAAUGUCCAAGAAUCUCCAGUUGGGGCGCCCAAUCCCUCACAACAAUUCCCCUUCUUUCAAUUCUCUCUUCAAAUCCUUCUGGCAGCUGAGCCCUCCUAUCUUCUCCCUGGAAGACGUCUCCUUUAUCUGCAUCCCUCAGUACCCAUAUGAAUUUUUGCCCACUUUUAUCUAAUCCAGUUGCAAUCUCCUUGGCUUCUUCAUCAGACACCGAAGUUGUUGAACCAAAAGAAAUGAAAAUGACCGAAUCUGGCGCUUGUUUGUCCAGCCAAUCCAGGCAAUAGUGUCUCUUUUCCGAGUUUCUCUGCCCAUUCAUCUCAACUGGAUUGAAGGGUCCAAUAGCCCAUUGCUUGUCAGAGUCGGUUAUUUUGGAUUUAACAUGGAGGUCAAGGUAUGGACCCUCUAUAGCUCUACAACUGUUGAACAGGUAGCCGGAGCUAAUUGGCUUAAAAUCCUGUUGCAAUUUUGCAAAGUCAGUCAGCUCCUGGGGGAAGCAGCUUUCCCAUGUU
rnacentral:lncRNA from 1 species